GUUUUAAUAGUUUAAAAUAUAAAACAAUGAUUUUGUAAAUCAUAAAUAGGAAUUGUACCUUUAAAACU
rnacentral:tRNA from 1 species